rnacentral:rRNA from 1 species
UACGUAGGGGGCGAGCGUUGUCCGGAGUUACUGGGCGUAAAGCGCACGUAGGCGGUUUCUUAAGUCGGGGGUGAAAUCCUGGAGCUCAACUCCAGAACUGCCUUCGAUACUGAGAGACUUGAGUCCGGGAGAGGUGAGUGGAACUGCGAGUGUAGAGGUGAAAUUCGUAGAUAUUCGCAAGAACACCAGUGGCGAAGGCGGCUCACUGGCCCGGUACUGACGCUGAGGUGCGAAAGCGUGGGGAGCAAACAGG